ACAAUCCAGCUUCCUAACCUUAAGGAAGAGACCCUAUCAAUAUUGCCUCUGCUUUUGUGAUCAGGGUAGUAGUGCAAUAUUGCUUAUAGGGUCUUUUCUUUGGAGGGUAUUCUUCACAGGAAAG
rnacentral:pre_miRNA from 15 species